rnacentral:lncRNA from 1 species
AAACCCAAAAAGGCCAGCUGGCCCCUGACCCAAAUCAGAGCUACACUGAAGACUCUCAGUCUAUCCCCAGCAGAACAUCUUAAUGUGGUCCACCCAGAAACUGAACCGAAGCCACAUUCCUGGCAAAAGGAGUUUCAUCUUGGCCGUCUGCUCUUGGCUUUGGCCAGCUGGGCUCAGGGAGAUCUAAAAACCUAGGACAGUGCAUGGAUCCAGUAGACGAGUCCAGGCCUCCCCUUCCCCAGAGCUAAGCGGCAUCCCUCAUCACCUCCCCAACCCCAGAUAGACUCCCUACAGCGUAGCUGCCUGGUCCUAGCACUAGCUCAAAAUACAGGCAGGAGAACAAACAGUGCAAAAAGCAAAUGACGAACAGAGUAAUUUGUGACGUACACAAUACAAAAAUAAAAAUAAAGAGUGCCCCACCCCACCCCUUUAACCUAAACUUCAUGUACCUAUAUCAUCUUGAAGGAGCCCCCCCCCCCCCCCCCCCCCGCCUCCCCGAACAAAAAAAAAAAAGCUUUCAAGUUCAGCAUCAUGGGCCAGCUAUGACCAGCCCCGGGCAGCUGUUAGCUGGGUGGACUUGGCUCCAGGGGACUCUACCCCAGCCCCCCACCAUACUUCUUCCUGUUUCCUCACUUCUCCUUUAGUUUUUGUGAGCCAUAGAAAGAUGUUCCUUCCUUUCGGACACAAGCAGAGGAAAAUGCCCAUCCCUAUCCCUGGGCUCAGGGGAAAGGAGUGAGCUUGGAAACAGGGGUGGGCUUGGAAGCAAAGCUGCUUGGCUUACAGUACCGUUAGGAAAUGGCCCCAGGAGCCAGGGUUUCCUUCUGAGACUCUGAGUCACUGAAGGGAUGGGUUGAGGUGAGUAGGCGGGACCCCUCCUUCCUCAAAGACCCAGGCAAACUAACAAACAAGGCAAAAUGGAGGCAGCGAGUCCUCCUUCCUCCUCUUGUCUACUCCAUUGACAGUGGCCUACAGCUUUGAGGAGAUCUGAUGGAAGGGGAACCAAAGCCACUGUCAGAAGCCCAAUUAGUCAGGACGUCCAUUGCCCUGGGCAAAGGGUGCCCCGGAUCAAGGCUACAGGAUGCCAUCCUUCAAAGCAGGGAGCUUUGUGAAGCACUCCAGGAAGUGUUCCUCUUAUUGCGGCCUCAGUCCACAGUCAUCCAGAUGCCUGACUCAAUCCCCUACUACUGAGGCCUAAGUCACAGCUAAAAUAAAGGGCUCCCACUCUCAAAGGACUAAAUGCUGGCCCAGAGUAACUCAUUAAGAGCCAAAACCCAGGCCAUGAGCCCAAGAGCUACUUACUUU